rnacentral:rRNA from 1 species
UACGGAGGGUGCAAGCGUUAUCCGGAUUUACUGGGUUAAAGGGUGCGUAGGCGGGCUUUUAAGUCAGUGGUGAAAUCUCCGAGCUUAACUCGGAAAUUGCCAUUGAUACUAUUAGUCUUGAAUUAAGUUGAGGUGGGCGGAAUGUGUCAUGUAGCGGUGAAAUGCUUAGAUAUGACACAGAACACCGAUUGCGAAGGCAGCUCGCUAAACUUAUAUUGACGCUGAGGCACGAAAGCGUGGGGAUCAAACAGG